rnacentral:rRNA from 1 species
UACAGAGGGGGCAAGCGUUGUUCGGAAUUAUUGGGCGUAAAGGGCGCGUAGGCGGCUUGGCAAGUGGAUGGUGAAAUCCCUCGGCUUAACCGAGGAACUGCCGUCCAAACUGCUUUGCUUGAGACCGGGAGAGGUGAGUGGAAUUCCCAGUGUAGCGGUGAAAUGCGUAGAUAUUGGGAGGAACACCAGUGGCGAAGGCGGCUCACUGGACCGGUACUGACGCUGAGGCGCGAAAGCGUGGGGAGCAAACGGG